AUGCAUUUUCUAUGUGUUGGAACCACAACUGGACAAACCAACUUUGCCCAGAAGCUUUACAGACGCGGCGGCUCGCGCGGCCAGGAGUGCGCUCGGGCAUGGCGUGCUCGGUCGGGCGUUUCCUGCGCGACUGCGGCCUGGCCACCAACCGUGGCUGUGGCCCUAGAGGAGCUACAGAAAGAUCUGGAAGAGGUAAAGGAAUUGCUGGAAAAGGCCACUAGGAAAAGAGUACGUGAUGCCCUCACAGCUGAAAAAUCCAAGAUUGAGGUAGAAAUCAAGAACAAGAUACAACAGAAAUCACAGAAAGCAGAAAUCCUUGACAAUGAAAAGCCAGCUUGCUGUGGUCGCUCCCAUUACAACAGGAUACACAGCGAAGAUCAGUAAUUAUGGAUGGGAUCAGUCAGAUAAGUUUGUGAAAACUCUAUAUUACCUUAACUGGAGUUCAUCAGGUUCCUACUGAGAAUGUGUAGGUGCAUUUCACAGAGCGGUCAUUUGAUCUUCUGGUAAAGAAUCUCAAUGGGAGCCGGGCUCGUUACUCCACGAUUGUGAAUAGUCUCCUGAAGCCUAUCUCUGUGGAAGGCAGUUCCAAAAAAGUCAAGACUGAUACAGUUCUUAUCUUAUGUAGAAAGAAAGCAAAGAACACUAGUUGGGACUACCAGACUAAGGUUGAAAAAGACAGCCGGACUCGAAAAGAAAAAGAGUGCAAAGAAAAAUAAAAGCCUUCAUAUGACACUGAAACAGAUUCUAGUGAGGGGCUGACACAUGUUCUAAAGAAAAUUUAUGAAGAUGGAGAUGAUGACAUGAAGCGAACCAUUAAUAAAGCCUGGGUACAGUCGAGAGAGAAGCAAGCCAAAGGAGACACAGAAUUUUGAGACUUUGAAGUCUUUUUGGGAACUGUGAUGUGGAAAUACUGAUGUUUCCAAUAAGGGAAUGUUGGUGAGCUGCACAUACAAAUUUACAAGAUAACUAUUUACAUAGCCUUUUUCUAAGUAAGGGCAGUGAAUUCUCCAUUUCCUACUGGAGGAUUUAUGACAAUAAAAGAUGUUUAUCGAACCCUUCUUGCAA